rnacentral:rRNA from 1 species
CACGCCGUAAACGAUGGGUACUAGGUGUGGGUAGUUCACUCUAUCCGUGCCGCAGCAAACGCAUUAAGUACCCCGCCUGGGGAGUACGGCCGCAAGGUUAAAACUCAAAGGAAUUGACGGGGGCCCGCACAAGCAGCGGAGCAUGUGGUUUAAUUCGAAGCAACGCGAAGAACCGUACCAGGGCUGGACAUCCACAGUAGGCAUUAGAGAUAGUGCUGUGCCUCGUAAGAGGAACUGGGAGACAGGUGG